rnacentral:tRNA from 1 species
AUGACCUUAGCUCAGUUGGUAGAGUGGUGGACUGUAGUUGGACUAAUCUAAAUUGGAAAUCCAUUAGUCGCUGGUUUGAUUCCGGCAGGUUGGA